AGAGUUUGAUCAUGGCUCAGAACGAACGCUGGCGGCAGGCUUAACACAUGCAAGUCGAGCGCCCCGCAAGGGGAGCGGCAGACGGGUGAGUAACGCGUGGGAAUCUACCCAUCUCUACGGAACAACUCCGGGAAACUGGAGCUAAUACCGUAUACGUCCUUCGGGAGAAAGAUUUAUCGGAGAUGGAUGAGCCCGCGUUGGAUUAGCUAGUUGGUGGGGUAAUGGCCUACCAAGGCGACGAUCCAUAGCUGGUCUGAGAGGAUGAUCAGCCACAUUGGGACUGAGACACGGCCCAAACUCCUACGGGAGGCAGCAGUGGGGAAUAUUGGACAAUGGGCGCAAGCCUGAUCCAGCCAUGCCGCGUGAGUGAUGAAGGCCCUAGGGUUGUAAAGCUCUUUCAACGGUGAAGAUAAUGACGGUAACCGUAGAAGAAGCCCCGGCUAACUUCGUGCCAGCAGCCGCGGUAAUACGAAGGGGGCUAGCGUUGUUCGGAAUUACUGGGCGUAAAGCGCACGUAGGCGGAUAUUUAAGUCAGGGGUGAAAUCCCGGGGCUCAACCCCGGAACUGCCUUUGAUACUGGAUAUCUGGAGUCCGAGAGAGGUGAGUGGAAUUCCGAGUGUAGAGGUGAAAUUCGUAGAUAUUCGGAGGAACACCAGUGGCGAAGGCGGCUCACUGGCUCGGUACUGACGCUGAGGUGCGAAAGCGUGGGGAGCAAACAGGAUUAGAUACCCUAGUAGUCC
rnacentral:rRNA from 1 species